rnacentral:lncRNA from 1 species
UUUCAUUCCCUUUCCCCACCUCCUUAAGUAUGUUGCUCAUCUAGAUAAUACUAUGAUGAAUGUGUUUGAAAGAUCUGCUUAUAUAUAUUAUGUUACCAUUGUAUUUGGAAGGACAGGGACAGGAACAUGGUGAGUGUUUUGAAUUUGUUGAGCUGAAAUAUGUUGUUGAUACUCAUAGAUUUAAUUUGACGAAUAAGCUAUUAUUGGACAAAUGAAUUAUUAAGCUAUCUUGGAGUAACACAACAUCCUUAUUUCUUAGAGCAUCCACACUUGCGAGUAGGGAUGUCAAUGGGUGGGUUUUACCCGGACCAGAACCAUUAAAAUUGUUACGGUUCCGGAACCAGAACCGACCCAUUGCUUAAUGGAUCCACACCGGACCAGACCAUUAAGUGAAAAAUUAAUGGGUGUGGGUAGGUUAAUUACCCAUGGGUAUUAUAAGACCCAUAGACCCAAUAAUACCCAUUACCAAACUUAAAAAAGCCCAUGGUCUCAUGACCAAGACCCAGCCACCCCCACCCCCACCCCCANGCAGUAAGAGAUUCCACUUGAGCAUGCAUUGUGGAUUUAUGACUACUUGAUAAGCCACACACGUGUUGUUAAAGACGGAAUUUUUUGUAGUUAAAAUUACGAAGUCCGUUAUUAAUAAGAUUAACAAUAAAGUUAACAGCGGGAAAUUGACACCGACGUAUGUUUGUCUCGCUUAUUCAACAACAAAUAGAUUAUGUCGUUAAAUUUUUAUGAAGGAAUAAAGACGGAUAUUCCCUUAGUAAUAUAUAUAUUUUUUUAAAUUUGAGCAAUUGCGCGAGGGCUCUGAUGAAUCGAUGACACAAAGUCGUCCACCACACACACACUUUGCGACAUCCACAACCAGAAUCUGGCCGAACACCGACGGAAUAUUCCGUCGGUAAGAAUCAAAAUUCCGUCGGUAAAUGGAGAUACCGACGAAUUACCGACGGAUUUCACCCGUCGUGAAAACGCUCGUCGGUAAAUGAUUUACCGACGGAUUUUUUCUGUCCGUCGGUGGAUACCGACAGAUUACCGACGGACAUCGCCGUCGGUAAGUCUCCGGCGCCGGCGUUGGCCGUGGUAGGUGGCGCGUUUACCGACGGAUUACCGACGGAAAAUUACAUCGGUAAAUUAUUUUUAAUUUUUAAAUUUAAAUUUUAAUUUUAUUUUUUUUAUUUUUUUAUCAACCUAUAUUCGUAUUCUACAAGUAUUUCGUAUUUCUAAUGUAUUUUGAACUUAAUUGCAUAUGAUUUGGCCAACUUCCCAGUGGGUCACCCAUCUUACUAGUGCUCUGAGUCAAACACGCUUAACCCUUGAAGUUUCUUUCCAGUGGUCGCCAGUAGAGAACACGCGUAUUAUUGAUAUAACUAGCACCUAUUAAUUCAUUUAAACUCUAUUUCAAUAUACAAUAUUAUUUAUUCAUAACCUUAGAAUAUGUCAAGAUGAUAUCUAAGACUUGUGGUGCCGGUGAAAAAAUGACGGUAAAUAUAUGAUCGAAUUUCAGAUAAUAAAAAAAUUAAUAUUAUCGUUUAUUAAAAAGAGAAAAUAUUAUUGCUAAAAAUAACUAUCAAUUUUAAAAUAUUUUCAAUAAUUUAAAAAUAAUAAUAAUAUAGAAAAUUAAUUUAAAAUAAUAAAUAAUAAAAAAAAUAAAAAAUAAAAAUAAAUAAAAUAAUAAAAAAAUAAUUUACCGACGGACUUUAUCCGUCGGUACUAAUUUUAAAAAUAAUUUAAAAAAAAUAAAAAAAUAAAAAAAACAAUAAAAAUACAAAUAAUAAUAUUUAUUGAAAUUACCGACGGAAUAUUCUGUCGGUAAAACAUAAAAAUAAUUAUUAAAUUCGAAAUUACCCAAUUUUCCGACGGAGUUUAAUCCGUCGGUAAGGAUUCCGUCGGUAAAAAAUAAAAAUAAUUAUUAAAAUCGAAAAUACCGAAUUUACUGACGGAUAUUGUCCGUCGGUAGUGAUUCCGUCGGUAGUCCGUCGGUAUUUUCAUCGGAAAUAGAUGCCGGCUCCGGCGAUGUUGCCGGAUGACGGUCCGUCGGGGAUCCGUCGGUAUCUACCAACGAAAAAUAGUCCGUCGGUGAUUUCCGUCGGUGUUCGACCAGUUUUCUUGUAGUGAUCGUGAAGACGUCCACCACACACACCGUGUACUCUUCCACAAAUAGAGAUGGCAGUGAGUCAGAUUUGGACAUAAUUAAUCCUGCUUUAUUCAGAUCCAGAUUUUCUUACUUAGGUUCGGAUUUGAUCCAGAUUUAUUGGAAAUAAAAAAAAUGAGAUUCAAGAUUAGAUCCAUAAGAUCCAUUAAGUCUCGGGCACCCGGAUUCAUAUUUUCCCUAUCUCUUAAAAUAAUUUUAAAUUAAUUUAAAAAUCAAAAUAAAAUCAUAAUUAUUGUCUAGAGUUUCAACAUUCAUUCAAAAAUUAAAUAAUUACACCAUAUAUAAUCCAUAAAAAAUAUUGUAAAAAUUCAAAAUAAGCAAAAAUAUAAAUUAAUUACUAAAUAACAUAUUAGUAGUACAACAUAUCAAAACAAGCAAUUUUUGUACAUUGGUAAGAUCAUAAAGUCAGUGCAUGCUAACUGAACAUAAUUAGCUACUAUUAUACCUAUUAUAUUUUAAAAAUAUUUUUUUUUUAAAUAAAUUUUAUGAAUUAUAAUUAAUAUUAAAAUAUAUAUAUAUUUUAAAAAUACCCGAAUUAAUUUUAGAUCCAUCAACUCUAAUAAUAAAAUAUUAAUUAAUAAAAUUUAAAAUAAAUGAUCAAAUAUCAUUAUAUACCUUUAUUAUAUCAAAAUUGAAAUCAAAGAAAAAAAGAUCGAGAUUGUUUUUUUGAAAGUGAGACAUUUAAAUAUGGUAUAUUACUAGAUUUUUUUUUGGCUCAAUAGUAUAUUAGCCGUGUUUGAUUUUAUUGUUAAGGCUUGUUUAUAGCCUGUGUUAUCCUCAAACUAGCGUUUGAAAUUUAAGGCCUGUUUCACUAGAAGCCCGUCAUUACGUUGCGCGCGCGCGGCCUCAAAAUUACUGUUCCACCAUGUAUCUGGAUGAGAGGGUAUGCGUGAGUUUAUUUAUCGGAGCGGCUACAGUAAUUAAUUCUGAAAAUUCAUUUCCCCAAAUUACCCACCUUAUUCAAUUGACGGAUGGAAUUAAGUAAAAAAUUGGAGGUUAUUAACGUCGUUUCACCUGCUUUUAUAUGGGUUGACCAUGUGUUUUCAAACGAGCCGAUUCGGUAUGUUGGAUCACAUAAAAGAUUUCAAACGUCAUAAUUAAGAAAACUUAACAGACCAUCUGGGCUUAUUAUUUACUUGGGUUAGACUAAAUGGGCUUAACCUAUAAGCAAAAUCAAACACGCCCGUGUCUCACAAUUUUGUGUGUGCCACUAGUAUUAUUUAAAAUAUUUUUAAUAAAUAUAAAACUUAUCUAAAACAGUUAUAUAGUAGUACAUUCUAAUUUGCAAAUAAUUGUUUAAAUUGUGAAGAGAUUAAAUUUGUGAUUGUAUUUUAUUUUAACGAAGGCUAUUAGUAAUCAACCAAUUUCCGAUAAUUUUUCCGUCUCUCUGGAUCUAUUCCAUCGCUUCUCUCUCACACACUCUGCAUCCUUUGCAACUACAAGGGACUUUUUUCACAAGUCCCAAAUCAUCAUCUCAAAAUCUUGCCAAGAAUGGAGGAAGGCGAAGAGAAUCUUAUUUUCUCAUAUGAUGGUUUCUUUGAUUCACUUAUAAGAAUAUGAUAAUAUGUUUGUGUUUCAUUCCCUUUCCCCACCUCCUUAAGUAUGUUGCUCAUCUAGAUAAUACUAUGAUGAAUGUGUUUGAAAGAUCUGCUUAUAUAUAUAUUAUGUUACCAUUGUAUUUGGAAGGACAGGGACAGGAACAUAUAUGGUGAGUGUUUUGAAUUUGUUGAGCUGAAAUAUGUUGUUGAUACUCAUAGAUUUAAUUUGAUGAAUAAGCUAUUAUUGGACAAAUGAAUUAUUAAGCUAUCUUGGAGUAACACAACAUCCUUAUUUCUUAGAGCAUCCACACUUGCGAGCUAGCAUCUCUGGCUCUCAGGUGGGCCCCUCUGUCCGAGCCACCGAGCUCUGCAGCGCGUGAGCCCCAACUCACAUCGUGGCUCGCCCCAUGCCCCCCGCGGUGUUUGCAUGCGCCUCUCUCUCUCCUCUCUCGCAUCCAGGUGCACGCCCCACACCCCAGCAGUAGUGUGCCCCACCGUGAAUACGUACUCUUAGUGGCUUCGAGUCUCUCUCUCUUAUAUAUAAUUGCACGUGCAAGAGCAAGAGCUUCUCUCUUUAUUUUUCCCCUAAAUUACAUGGGAAUUAAUAUUGGCACUUCUGUAGUUUAAUAUCUAUACAAGUCGAUUUGCUUGUAUAGUUAACUCAUAC